rnacentral:lncRNA from 1 species
AAACUCUUGAUAUUUUCUCACCAUAAGCAGAAAUUAUUUCAGGUUAUUUUACAGUUUUGAUUGGGACCCAUCACUAUAAUUCCCAUAGGAAGUCCACAAACACUUGUAAGGUACAAAAUAAAAAUUGAAAUAGGAUUACAACAUUUGAGAUAAACUUAAGACCCCAAAACAAAAGCCUGGAAUAGAUUUAGACCCUUUUGGAACACCCAUAACCAUGUAUACUCCAAAGUACGUGUCGACCUCCUUAGAAGAAAUUCAACGACAUCCUUUCAUAUAGCAAGAUGAAGAACCUUAAAUGAAAUGACUGACUCCAAACAGCUUCGAGAAAGCUUUUUUUUGGAAGAAAAAGGAUGCAAAUAUAGUUUUAAGACUAGGCAAAGCCAGAACUGAUUUGGAAGCCCAACAGGGUGUACAGGAAACUAAGCAAAAUUACUUCCAAAGGGGGUAUGCAACAAAUACAACUGUGGCAGAUUCAAAAUUCCAGCAUAAGGGCCUAGACACUAAAAGAAAACCAAACAAAAAGUUAAGAAACCAAAUGUAUAGGAGUGGUUCCAAUUUUGUCUCAAAAUAGCAAAAUGAGUAGCCAAACGUCUCAUCUAAAACAGCAAAAUGAGCAGCCAAAAUCUCAUCUAAUUCACCAUUCCAUUCACCAAGAUAUCGAACACAAGUUUCCUCCUAUAUUUUCAAUUUACCAUAUACGAGCUUCAAUCUGCAAAAUGAAAUUACGUCAUAAUUAUUUCAUACAUUCACGAUACUAAAAUAAGCAGCAACUACUUACACCCUAAUAGUAUCAAUCUUGUGAAGUUCCUCAU